GUCAACGGCCAUACAACCCUGAACGCGCCCGAUCUCGUCUGACCUCGGAAGCUAAGCAGGGUCGGGCCUGGUUAGUACUUAGAUGGGAGACCGCCUGCGAAUACCGAGUGAUGUAGGCA
rnacentral:rRNA from 1 species